CCACAAUCCUUCCCCUUUCAGCCCAACCAACCCCCUACCAUCCCCUCUGUACCGGACUAUCUGCUACUGCUACGACGACAUUCCUUCAUUCACUGCAGCGUUUGGCCUUAAUGGCAGAUUUGCAUAACACACACACACACACACACUUGUCGGACGGGGAGCUUGAAGCAGGAGCCAGGAAGAAGAAACACUCAACACAUAAGUGGAGGUCGUGACCUCUGGGUCACAGCUGCAGACCCGUUGGUUUCAGUCGUGUUUCGAGUCACCUGAGGUCGUCGGUCCAAUAUUCAUUCUCUUUUUGCUCCGUUUCUGGUCUCCAUCAGCUCCUAUAAGGUGGUGAGACUGAUGUGAAACACUAAAGUUCUAUAUUUAAUGAAAAUAAAAAAGUUUCACUAUGAUUGUCCAGUUUCUCUUUACAAAUCUCUCUCUUAAUGUCACGUUUGAAUCAGUCAGACUUUUGAUAAAUUGAACCUCAAGUUGAGACCACUGCUUGAAGCUAUGUUUUUAUUUUGACUGCCAUUAUCAAAAUUCUUGGUUUAAUUGCCGCUUUUGCAUGGAGCCGUAAACCCCCCAGGCCCCAACAGCAGUGGAGGUCUAUAAAAACAAAGGCAGCUUGUCUAUGGGUUUAAGGUUUAUGGUGCCUUGUCGAAUGGUAACCUGUUGCCAAGCUGAUUAUGAAACAAACUGCUUCAGGGAAAAUUCCAGGUGCUGAGUUAUAUCAUCAGUCAGCGCUUUCCUGAAGUAAUUUUAUAACUGUAUUGAUUGUACAAUUGAGUUAACCCCAAUCUCUGAAUACGUGCGUAACGAAAUAGAUAGUUUGCCCUUUUUUUCAUGAACUAGAAUCAAACGCAGGUGCAUAUUAAAGCAUGUUCUGAGGUGGAAACUGUAUGUUAGUGCAUGUUAGCGUGCAUGUUAGCAUGUUAGUGUAACCCCCCUCCAGCUAUCACUUUAGAGAAAUGUGUCUGUUAGUGUAUGUCAGUGUAUGUUAGCGUGUCUGUUAGCGUAUGUCAGUGUAUGUUAGUGUGUCUGUUAGCGUAUGUUAGUUCAAGUUAGCGUGUGUGUUAGUGUAUGUCAGU
ensembl:lncRNA